AUUGACUGAAGCUGAUCUUUCAAUAUGAACAAAACGAAUGUUGUGAAUCCCCGAGCCUCCAAGGCCGGAUCGAACCACACCAAUACAAAGAAUAAUGAUGUGUGGAGCGACGGAGAGUGGUAACCACCGAACAAAGUUUAUUGUGCAAGCAAGAAACAACAAAACACCACCUAGAUCUAAUCUAGGAAACAAGUGUGAAACACAAAGCAACAAUCACAAGAUACAAGGAGAGGGAAGAAGAAAACAAUAAACACAAAGAGAUUGUUCACCCAGUUCGGUCCAAACUUGACCUACUCUGGAGGAGAGAUUGUACUCUCCAAUCCACUAUCAAAUGAGUUCUUUACAAAAGGGAUACAAGAGGUUACAAGAAAUUAGCUUGACAAGUUCACUAUGAACAAACCCUAAUUUCUACCCCUUUCCCAAUCUCACCAAGACACUCAAUGAUUCUCUCUACAAGGUGUUUCCCAUGUUUUCAACCCAAGAGAUACUCUAAUCAAAGAACCCUAAACCCUAGAGCUUCCCCUUUGAUUUCCCAAGUCUCUCUCUUCCAACUCUCUCCUUCAAAUCUGCACAAGAACACUUAAGUACUAGUCUUCCUCUGUUCCAAUCGUGUCACGAUUUUCCCAAUCGUGUCACGAUUUGCGUCCGUCCCAAGGAACGACCAGUCCUUAUCAAGGAUACUUAACGAGCAAGUUU
rnacentral:lncRNA from 1 species